AUUGAACGCUGGCGGCAUGCCUUACACAUGCAAGUCGAACGGUAACGGGCCUUCGGGUGCCGACGAGUGGCGAACGGGUGAGUAAUGUAUCGGAACGUACCUUUCAGUGGGGGAUAACGUAGCGAAAGUUACGCUAAUACCGCAUAUUCUGUGAGCAGGAAAGCAGGGGAUCGCAAGACCUUGCGCUGAUUGAGCGGCCGAUAUCAGAUUAGCUAGUUGGUGAGGUAAAGGCUCACCAAGGCGACGAUCUGUAGCGGGUCUGAGGUGCUGAUCCGCCACACUGGAACUGAGACACGGUCCAGACUCCUACGGGAGGCAGCAGUGGGGAAUUUUGGACAAUGGGGGCAACCCUGAUCCAGCCAUGCCGCGUGAGUGAAGAAGGCCUUCGGGUUGUAAAGCUCUUUCGGCCGGGAAGAAAUCGUAUCAGCUAAUACCUGGUGCGGAUGACGGUACCGGCAUAAGAAGCACCGGCUAACUACGUGCCAGCCGCCGCGGUAAGAC
rnacentral:rRNA from 1 species